CGGUUUACGAUUUAUGACGUAUUAAAAAAAACUACUUACUAGAUCUCGUUCAAACUAAUUUUCGGUGGAAGUUUGCUUGGUAAUGUACAUCAUAUAUUUUUUUCAGUUUUAUCAUUCUCUUAUUUUAGAAGUUACAGGGGGGGGGGGGGGGGGGGGCACACAUUUUACCACUUUGGAAGUGUCUCACGCGCAAACUAUUCAGUUUAGAAAAAAAAUAUAUUAGAAACCUCAAUAUCAUUUUUGAAGACCUAUCCAUAGAUACCCCACACGUAUGGGUUUUUUAUAAUAGGUCUUCAAAAAUGAUAUUAAAGUUUCUAAUAUCAUUUUUUUCUAAACUGAAUAGUUUGCGCGAGAAACACUUCCAAAUUGGUAAAAUGUGUCCCCCCCCCCCCUUCUAAAAUAAGAGAAUGAUAAAACUAAAAGAAUAUAUGAAUUGCCAUGCAAACUUCCACCGAAAAUUGGUUUGAACGAGAUCUAGUAAGUAGUUUUUUUUAAUACGUCAUAAAUCGUAAAC